UUAUAGCCCCGAUUGCAGCGGCAUCCUUUUUCUGUUUGGCAUAUGAAAUAGGUAAGGUGUAGGAGUGGGUGGCGAAAAAGAUAGAGCGGAAAGCGGGAAAUAGC
rnacentral:sRNA from 1 species